rnacentral:lncRNA from 1 species
GCCUUAGGCAUUCUUCGAGUCAUCCCCAUCUCUACAUCUCUGCAUCCCCCAGACCAGCCUAGGUUAGCUCCAGAACUUUCUCUAUUUCCACGGCUUUGUUUAUAGACUGUGCCGAUCCUCCUUCGUUGCAGAUAUGGGUGCGGACGUGGCUCGAAUGUUAGCCAAGAAUCUCAAAGCCCACAAGAGGGAAGGUGCUACAACUUCCGAGUCGGCGAAGAAGGCGAGGGUAGAAGAGACAGAUCCGAUCAUAUUUCGCCUUGAUUGCCC